rnacentral:rRNA from 1 species
ACACAAAAAUGCACAUGCUGUGAGCUCGAUGAGUAGGGCGGGACACGUGGUAUCCUGUCUGAAUAUGGGGGGACCAUCCUCCAAGGCUAAAUACUCCUGACUGACCGAUAGUGAACCAGUACCGUGAGGGAAAGGCGAAAAGAACCCCGGCGAGGGGAGUGAAAAAGAACCUGAAACCGUGUACGUACAAGCAGUGGGAGCACGCUUAGGCGUGUGACUGCGUACCUUUUGUAUAAUGGGUCAGCGACUUAUAUUCUGUAGCAAGGUUAACCGAAUAGGGGAGCCGAAGGGAAACCGAGUCUUAACUGGGCGUUAAGUUGCAGGGUAUAGACCCGAAACCCGGUGAUCUAGCCAUGGGCAGGUUGAAGGUUGGGUAACACUAACUGGAGGACCGAACCGACUAAUGUUGAAAAAUUAGCGGAUGACUUGUGGCUGGGGGUGAAAGGCCAAUCAAACCGGGAGAUAGCUGGUUCUCCCCGAAAGCUAUUUAGGUAGCGCCUCGUGAAUUCAUCUCCGGGGGUAGAGCACUGUUUCGGCAAGGGGGUCAUCCCGACUUACCAACCCGAUGCAAACUGCGAAUACCGGAGAAUGUUAUCACGGGAGACACACGGCGGGUGCUAACGUCCGUCGUGAAGAGGGAAACAACCCAGACCGCCAGCUAAGGUCCCAAAGUCAUGGUUAAGUGGGAAACGAUGUGGGAAGGCCCAGACAGCCAGGAUGUUGGCUUAGAAGCAGCCAUCAUUUAAAGAAAGCGUAAUAGCUCACUGGUCGAGUCGGCCUGCGCGGAAGAUGUAACGGGGCUAAACCAUGCACCGAAGCUGCGGCAGCGACGCUGAUGCGUUGUUGGGUA